GACGAACGCUGGAGGCGUGCUUAACACAUGCAAGUCGAACGAUGAAAUGGAGCUUGCUCCAUGGAUUAGUGGCGAACGGGUGAGUAACACGUGAAUAACCUGCCCUUAAUUUUGGAAUAACCCAGGGAAACCUGGGCUAAUACCGGAUAAGUAAACCUGUGGCAUCACAUGGUUUUGGAAAGUUUUUCGAUUAAGGAUGGAUUCGCGGCCUAUCAGCUUGUUGGUGAGGUAAUGGCUCACCAAGGCGACGACGGGUAGCCGGCCUGAGAGGGUGAACGGCCACACUGGGACUGAGACACGGCCCAGACUCCUACGGGAGGCAGCAGUGGGGAAUAUUGCGCAAUGGACGAAAGUCUGACGCAGCGACGCCUCGUGAGGGACGAAGGUCUUCGGGUUGUAAACCUCUUUUAGUAGGGAGGAAGCGAAAGUGACGGUACCUGCAGAAAAAGCACCAGCUAACUACGUGCCAGCCGCCGCGGUAA
rnacentral:rRNA from 1 species